CACCAAUGAUGCUCCUUGAUAACUAUUUAAAAAGGUCUGGAUCAAUUUCCAACUGUUCUUUCAGUUCACGACAUGCAUUCAGUCAUAACUACUUUUGAUCUUCUAUGAGCAAGUGAGGCACAAAUUUUACAGCAACUCUUUUCAUUUGCAAUUCUUCACUUAAAAUUCG